AAAAAAAAAAACUAACCUUUGUAGAAUCUCUCAAGAACACCUCUUUGAAUCUCUUAAGAACACAAAAUCUUUCUCGUUAUUCUUAAAGUGAAAAUCACACAGAAUUGAGAGCUUCUGUAAUUUGGUUUGGCGAAGGGAAAACUUUUGAGAGAUUUUUUUUUCCUGAACAAAUAGAUCAUGAAAACCAGAUAGUAGAGAUUGUCGUAUCUUAACCAUUUAUUUAAGGAGAGAUGGAGGGAAAAGUUAUCAAAUAAUUCCCUCCAUCUCCCUUACGUAAAAUAACUCCAGUGGGAGUUAUUCUAUUAAUUAAAUAUAUAUUAAUUAAUAUAAAUUUAAAUCGUAUUAUAUCUCAUGACUAGUUCAUAUAUAAUAUAACCAAUGGUUUAAAUCUCUCAUAUAACUUAUAGUUCUAAUAUAAAUUGAAUUCAUAUUCAUUUUAAUCUACAGUUUAUUUAUGAAUUUCAUUCAUAUUAGUAUUUGAAUUAUAUUUAAAUAUUAACUUCUCUCAUGAAAACUUUUAUUAUAAUGUAUCAUAUACAAUUUAUUUUCUUUAAUCAAUUUGAACAAUUCAUAUUCAACCAAAAUAAGUAUGAUUCUCAUUUAUCCUUAUUAAGCUAACAAUAGGACCUCAUGGACCUAUGAUAACGUGCAGAAAUGGUCGUUAUUAUAGCUCUUUCUAUUAGAAUAAUGAGAUCAAAACGCAUAAAAUGAUGAUCAGAUUGCAUGACUUGGGUUGUAAACACAUAAAUAUUUAGAAAUACAGCUUAUAUAAAUGUCAUUCUUAUUUUACGCAGUUGUCAUGUUUAAACGCGGAAUAAGUGGAAAAAGAAGAAAAGAGCAAACUGCACAAGAUAGCUUGUGCAAAAGCUAAGCAAUGAAAACUAGUUUGGCGCUUAACACCUCAGGCAAAGAACCAAGACAUCAUGUGAGGAAAGCUCACAAAAAGACAAGAAUGGUAAUUGGGAUGAUGUGACCUCACAGAGCCAAAUGUCAGCAUUGACACACUCAGAGGAAUAGAAGUUUUUCUCUGAAAAGUAGACUAUAGAAACACUUCGUCUCCACCAAGAGAAGGGGCUCGAAUAGGCCAAAGAGGCCCGUAAAGGCCAAUUAGAGAGCAGAGAGCUCAAGCAAGAAUCAUUCUUCUGUUUUUCCUCCGAACUUGUAGUAAUUCGGUCCAUUCUUCAUUGUAAUAUAUGUGAUGUUCAUAUCGUACAUUGGCCAAAGGCCUAUAUUGUUUAUACGUAUGUUGCAAGUUUACACCGUUUUAAUCCAUCAUUUCUUGACUUCUCACCUGUCAAAGUGUUAUCAAUAGUUAGGGUUGUGAUAGAUUCUUGAUAAGAAAACUAACUUAUAAACCUUACGGCAUUUGUUGAGCUAUAUUCAUCACAUGGCCAAUGUCAAUCACCAACUACACGAGAUGGUAAGUAGCAAGGAUAGAGCAAAUGCGCGCGAGGAGGAGUUUGGUAACAAACUUCACCUUAUAAGUGAGGUAACUUCCAACAUUUGUAUCCCAAAAGGUGAACAAGUGCGAAAAGUAGGCACUGAGAGGUUACCAUCCUUAAACGGGAAGUUCUAUAAGUGGUUAUAAGUCAAGUUAUCUAGGUAUAGUUCGCCUAAUCAAGCAUAGUUAGUCGCAUUCCGAAAGAUGAGAACCUGUGGCGUCUAAACACUUCGAGAGAAGGUCGCCUUAAACAUGAUUUGAAUAUGCAAUUAUAUCGCAUCAAGACUCUCGCACUACUUAAUCACCUAAUAAUGUGUAGACCUUUCUUCACCUUUUACUCGCAUACAAGUUAGUUGGUUCAAUCCCCAACUUGCCAUAAUUUAUUCUUUAUGCAUGAGUCUCUAGCUGUAUGUAAGUAGUUGUAGUUAGCGUUGCAUUCUUUCAACUUAAUUGUCAGAACGCAUAAAUAAUAAGUACAUUAUACAACUAACAUCUAAAAAUAAUUCCCUAUGUUCAAUCCGAGAUCACGCAGGUAAACCUAUUGUUUUUCUUGCACUUGGGCAAGCAGUAGCAAAACUUGUACUAAACGAGGACUUAGGAAUUACGUGAUGAAGAUACCAAUAGUGAGCAUCUUACAUGUUGUGAUCAUAACCCAUGACUCAUCGCCUAUAACUGAAGCAUGCUCUACAGAGAGUUACAGUGAGCAUAUUAUGCGCAAUGAUCUGACUCGGUAAUGUAUUGUGAUUGUAGUCUACACGUACAAAACUAUUAAGUACAAACACAAAUCUAGAACCAACCUACAAAUUGAAGCUCCAAUUAUAUGAGAUUGAUUAAUUAAACUCUUUAAUUAAAUUAAUCUUCAUUCAUUAACUAUCAGUCAUAUAUUCCACUCAAAACUAACAGUUGCACUCUUCUUACCGUUGAUAUAUUUUUGUGUCCAUUAAAUAUAAUCAAUCAAUAGUGCAAUGACCCUUCACAAAUUGCUCGUAAGUACAACUAGGCCAAAAAUUACUUUUUUUCCCUGUUGUUACAUCUAACUCCUUAAGUACCACUGAUUCAUCUAAUGAAUAAUAAGUUAUAGUCUCACUCUAACUAAACUUCUCUCGAGCCAAGAGAGGGUGUGGCACCACAUUGUUCAAGCCCUAGAAUCAGCCCUGAAGAGAGCAAUCUCUCUACUUACUCUAUCUAUAUAGAGGAGCGAACUCCUUGUGUAGCUGUGUUUCUAGCUCCUCAAUCAAAUGAAUCUCCAAAAAGGUAGGCAUAUUGAGUCAGCGACAUAGGCCACUCUUACCCAUGUAAAUCAAAGGACCGUCUUCAUAGGCAGGAGUUCACAAUUUACUUAGGAUUCAGGUCAAGUCACCUAUGGUCAUAGUGAAAUGUUAUCGCAACUAGUAACGAUGUUACUAAGAGAGAGUAUUCAUUUCAUUGUUUGGUCUUAUACAAACUCUUUGUAUACAAUAUCCUCGUUCUAAGGUCUCGACAUGAAUGAUUAGGAUCAAAUCAUUUGUAGCACUUUAGAACAAUUAUAACAACUACAAAGUAGGUCGUAUUCGUAGUGUCACCAGAAUAAGGUAUCCAACCUUAUCCAUAUACUACAAACUAUUUAGGUUAUCAGUUAAACAUAAUCCACUUGUAUGUCUCCACAUACAUAUUUAGGUUACAGAAGAUAACUUUGGAAGUUAGUUUAUUGUUUAUGUGAGUUAAUGCAACUAAAUGUCAAAUAAAAUAAAAUAUUUUAUUUCAUUGGAUAAAUAAAAUGCUUGUAUGAAACAAUUACAAACUACAAGACCAUGAGAUUUAGGGCAUCAACCCCAACAUCUUAUAUAAAAAUAGUAUGUUUAUCAGGUCAAAGAGUUGUUAUGCAGUGUUAGCAAGUAUCAUUGGAGGAGGACAAUGUUUGUUGGCUUCACGCCAUCUUUCAUACUAAAAGCAUGUGGUCCGAGAGGGGAUGUGACAUUUACUAAGGUUGUGUCCUUCGAAAGUAGUCAAUAUUUUUUUUUUACAUUAAUUGGUUGUGUCAACCUAGCUAGUUGAGAUUGACUCGAUACACCUUAUGAUCCCUUUUAGACUAGAGCCUUCUAAAAGUGCAAUUGUGUAUUGAAAAACUCAAACUAAACAUAAUUAUAUUAUUCAUAAGACGUCUUAUUCUCAAACAUCCUUUACUUCCAUGGAUGGACGAAGUUUAAUUUCUUUUGAAAACCAUUAACCAAAUAAAAUCCAUCAUCUCUAGCUACCCAAAUACAAUUUGAAUUGAGGCAAUGAGAUUCAAGCCAUGGUGUUGUCUCUUGCCAGAAAACUUCAAAUGAAGCUUGUUUUGUUCCACUGCGAAAAUUGCACCAAUACAACGUUGUUCCAACAAUAUUCAUCUUGAAUUUCCAAUUGUAUGUGUUGUGGAUGUUAAUGAGGUGUUCACCUAAAAUAAAAUAAAUAGUAGAUUUAGAAUUUUAUUUUAAACAUAUGGUACAUGUACCCAAAUUUAAUGAAAAAAAAUUCACAGUUUAGUCGUCUAUAGACAUUUUGAAAGCUUCCUCAAAGAUUGAAUUUGUUGGAACUAACGUCAAAAUCCACCAACUUAAAACUUGUUUAUUAGCUAUUUGGAUUUUAGUUUUUUAUUUUUAAAAAUUAAACCUACAUUUCUUUUUAAAGAAAUAUAUUCUUCUGUGUUUUGGUUUCAAAGUUUUGUAAUAUACUUUUGAGAGAUGUUUUAAAAACCAAACCAAAAUUUGAAAACUAGAAGAUAAAAAGUUUAAUUUUUUUUUUUUUUUUUUUGUUGAAAUCAACAUUAUUUUUAAAGAAAAAUGCAAAUAAUAUAAGGGAUUGAAAAAAAAUUUAAUUUUUCUAAGAAAAAAACGAAACAAUUGCCAUUUUUUUCCUAAUAAUUCAACUUUUUAAUUAGUUUAAAAAGAUGAAAACUACAAGAAGAAAUAAAAAGAAAAGCAAUGGGCUUAAAAUAAAAUAAUUAUUUCAAUAUCUAAAUUAAGAUUUAAACCAAAAAAUGUAAAAUUUAAAGAAUACAAACGAAGAAUGGAGACAACAAGUAAAUAAUUAAUAUCUCUAAACUAUAUAAAAAAAGAAAAAAGAAAGAAAAAGAAAAGAAAUGAGCUAAGUAAUAAGUUGUAUAUUUUGUAAAUUGUUAACCUAAGUCAUCGUCUUUGGACAUGCAAUGAGCGGACAGAACACCAUUAGUUUGAAAGUUAGCAAUCGUCACUUGCCAUGGUGACAAUGGAAGUAUGUUUGUGGAGGCUGCAAAACAAUUCUCAAUGUUAAUAGACAAUGCAAAAAUUACAAACAUAAAAAACACAUACAAACUAUUCAAAGCCUUCAUUUCUUUCUUUCUUUCUUUCUCUCUUUCUUUUUUUAUAAUUGCCUUAGAAUUUCCUGAGUGAUUCAUUUAAUCCUUUAGGGUAAUGAAUCAUUUAUAUGUAACUAACUAAGAUCAUAUUUGUUUAUAGAAAGAUCUAACAGCACAUACCAUUUUCUGAAACAUUUUGGCAAAGAUGGGUAUUAAUUCAUAAAUAUGUUUCAGUCACAUUUUAUAUGGUAUGUUUGAAAAUUAUUUUGAUAUAAGUCAGUUUUAAAUUUUAAAACCAACAUUUAAUUAUUUAAAAUUAAUUUAUAUAGUAUAAAAAUGAUGUUUAAAGUGAAAAUUGAAACAUUAAAUUGAUUUUGAUUAAUUAAGGGCAUAAUUUUUUAAAAUAAGACAAAAGUAAUUUCACUGUUUGGGUCACUUUUAUAAAUGGAAAAAAAGCCUAAGAUAAUAUAGCAUAUAUAACACAAACAUAAAAUAACCAGAUAUUUAGCACAAAAAAGUAAAAGAAUAAAAUACUUAUGUCCAACCACCAUUUUUUUGGGUGUUUUUUUGUGAAAUUUUUCAUUUUAAAAACUAUCACUCAUAAUUGCUAUCAAUGAUAUAUGUUAUCGCUAAUAGCUUUCCAUUUGAGAAAUGAUUAUUUCACACACUUCUCUUCUCAAUUUUUUCAUGUUGAAAGUUAUCACUUAUAGCUAAAAUUAGUGAAUAUCACUGAUAGUUGUUAUCAAUUGGUAUCACCGAUAGCUACUAUCAGCGAUAACUUGUCAUCGUUACAAAUAUUUUUUCUGUUUUUUUUUUUUAAAUUAAAAGUUAUCAUUGAUAGUAAAUGAUAGUUGUUAUAUGUUGGUAUCACUUAUAGAUGUUAUCAUUAAUAGCUUUUAAUUUCAAAAAUAUAUUAUUAGCUGAUAGAAUUGAUAACGACUAUCAACAAUAGUCUUUAUUAAUGAUAGCCACUUAAAAAUAGAGUAACUUUCAAUUUGAGAAAUAUGGUAUCAAUUGCUAUAGUUAGUUGCUAUCGUUGAUAACUACUAUCAGUGAUAGCUUUCAAUAUAAGAAAUCUGAUGGUAGUUGCUAUCACUAAUAUCUUCUAUCAGCGAUGUUGCUAUCAAUUGAUAUUCCUAGUAGCUAUUAUAAGUAAUUUUUGUAUAUUGCUAUCAAUGAAAAUGAAAUCACUACCAUUAUCUAUCAAUGAUUGCAUUAGAAGAAUAUCACUAAUAGCAACUAUAAGCGAUAUCAUUAGACGAUAUUUUUUAUAAGUGAUAUCCCUUUGGUAAACAUAUCAAUUUUAAAUUGUUAAGGUUUAAUUAUUUUGUGUUUCCCUUGCCGCUCGAUACUCUUCCUCCUUCCAUUUGUUUCCCUUCCAUUCAUCUUCGACUCUUCCUCCUUCUGUCUGUCGACUCUUCCCUUCCGUGACUCACCCAUUCUACUUCAGAUAUCCUUCCAUCAAAGUUCACGGUCAUUCUUUGUUCGGCAUUCUCUAUUCGGUGGCCAUUCUCCCUUCGUCAUUCCUUGCUCGUCGGUCAUUCUUCGUUCGCUGUUGUCUGCGGGCGGGUAUUUUUUUCAAUCGUUGUUCAUCUCCCAAAAUCCCUAUUGGGGAUGUUAGAUUCUUUUUGAAGUUCAUUAACUCUUUAGACUCCAGAGGCACUUCUUUGUGCUCAGAAUUGGAUUCAAUCGAAACCUUUGGACAACAUGAUUGAUCAAAAAAUCGAAUGGGCCGAAGAAACUGACGAAGGUAAUAUUAUUUUCGAAGUAAGUAUUUAAAAUAUAAAAUCAUCUCAUUAAGCUAACAAUUUGUCAUUUUGAUCUAGAAUUCAUUAACAUAAGAAAGGAGAUGGAAUCUAUAUUUGAGAAUCUGAAUCGUGACUCUAUGGUCUAAAUUCCUGCUAUCAAAUCUUUAUUUACAUUUCUUUGUUCUAAAUUGUUAACUUGUUAAAUAUUGAGUCUUGUUUUUUUUAGAAUCUUGAUGCACAAUGAUGCUGCACUUUAGGUUGAAAAAUCAAUCGAGGGUAGCUGAUUUUAUACUCUUUUAUUUCUCUUUAUUUUAUAAAGACUGCACUUCCCAAAUCAAUGGAAGCACUUUGUGGUUUUGAAUGAAGAAAAAAACACUCACUGUAUUUGUUUCAUCUGAGGUGGUCUUUUGUUUGAAACAUUUAGUUAUAAAUUUGGAAUAGAAAUUGAUUAUUUGUAAUUUGCUUAAUGUAAUUUUCUUAUUGAGAAGAAGAGGGGAUGUUUAUAAUGUAAUUUCCUUCAAAUUAGGAGAAAAUUUGGGAUGUUUAUAUAAUAAAAGAAUGAGAGAAUGAAUGAAAGAAAGAAGAAAAAAGAAAAAAGAAAAAAUAAAAAGAAAAAAGAAGAAGAAGAAAACAAAAAAUCGACCCGACCCGAAUCUGGGUUAGGUCAGGUCGGGCUCCAUCAGUAGGUUAUCCAUACAUUUUGGGUCAAAUCGAGUUGGAAGAAAAAUCGACAUGAUCCAGCCCAAUUACAUCCCUACUAUCGGUAAUAGUUUUGAAUAAUUGAUAACAUACUAUCCUUAUGAUAGCUUCUAUUGCUGAUAGUAUAAAUGAAAUUGAUAUAGUUGCAAUUUUUGUAGAAAUAAAUUAUUGAUUUUAGGUUAUGCUAUCAACAUUUAUAUCAUCUAGAAAUUCAAAAUUCAAGUUAUCAGUGAUAAGUUCAUGAAAAACAUAUUGACAUAUUAGACAUGAUGUUAUUGAUAGAAGUUAUCACUGAUAGUAUAAUAGAUGUCAUUGAUAGAAGUCAUCACUGAUAGCAUGAGAGGAAGGAAACUGAAAGGCAAACUUGCCAUUUUUAAAAAAAUAUACCAUAUAAGUAGUUAAAAAUUGUCAUUUUGCAAAUAUUGUUCCCUUGAGCUAUAUAUUAUACUUAUUUUUAAUUUUUGCUAUAAUGUGCAAUUUUCCAAAGAUUUUUAGUCGUGUUUUGUAAAAGUAACAAGUGGUUGAGACCUUGAACUUAAUUGUUUACAACGUAAGACUUGGGUUAAAUAGGUUGUCCAUAGUUCAAAUGAAUCUAAAGUCGAUUUAUAAAGUUUUGUUUAUUCUUCAUCUUUUAAAUGUUUCUACUUUCGCAAUGUAUAUGCUUUUAAAAGAGAUAAUUGAAAGUUCGGGUUAAGCAAGAUCAACAUGUAUCGUUAAAAGGAGACUAGUGUCGAUUGGCUUCAUGUUGUCAUCUCGAGCCUAAUGAGGAGGUGUUUCGUGAUGGGGUGUGACAAGUAGUGAGACUUUGACUUUGGAGUUACCUAAGAGUGUUGUGGUGCUUGAAAGAGGAUUAUAUCUUUUUGUUUUUUUAUUGUUAAAAUAGGCUUUUUCUUUAUUUAUUGAGUAUAUUGUGUCCAAAGGAGUUUCAUUCCUUAUUAGGACAAAGUUUGUAACUUUUGAAUUAUUCAUGAGAUUGUUAGUGUCAUAAUAAAAUAGGGGGCUUACAUGGAAUUGCAAUUUUGAAUUUUUUUUCAUAUGAAUGUUAGUUUAGUAACGUUGUAGGCAUAAAAUAGUGCAUAUAAAUUAUUUGUUUAUAUGGUUGACAAGAUUUGGUGAUGUGUUUGUUGUUUAUAUGGUUAAUAAAUAUUGUUUGUCACAUAUUUAUCAUUGUGAUUACUGGAUCUCGAAAUAGGAGCAAUUAUAUAGGUUUAGGGUUUGUUUGUUUUUGUUGUUCUAGUAGUACAUUUGUUUUUCUAAAAAAUAAAUAGAGCUCACUGCCCAUUUCGUAUUGAGAAUUAAUUAAGCUGUAAAUCUUUUAGAGUCAAGAAAAAAUUCCAUUUGUACGUGAAAAGUGUCAAGUUUUAAAUAAUCUUGAUGAAUAAUAAAUGUCAAGAAUUUAAAUAAUUGACACUUAAAACAAGUCAACUGAUCUCAUAUACUUGACAUCUAUAACAUAUCAAGUAAAUUUUAUCUUGACACUUAUAUAUACGAAGUAAAAAAAAAAAAUCUCUUACUUUUUUACAUUGGAUUACUUGACAUUUUUUAAAAUGUCAAGUAAAUAGAUACUUGACUAUAAAAAAAACGUCAAGUAAUGUUGUUUUUGUAGUAGUGAUCAUGUAAAUACAUAUAAAAAUUUAAUAAAAUCAAUCAAAAUAUCAGUGGGACUUAAGGAGCAAAAUGUAAUCUUGGGGGUAAAACGGUAUUUUGACCCAGCCAAGGUUACGAGCAACCUGUGAAGGAUUAACUUACUGAUUAUGGUUUUAUCAAAUGGACACAAAUAUAUCUAUAGUGAGGGGAGUGCAACUACGAGACUUUAGUGGAAUGACUCGUUAGUUAACGAAUGUUGAUUAACUCGGUUUAAAAAAGUUUAGCUAGUUAAUCUUGAAUCGUUGGAGCCCAUGAUCUAUAGGUCCAUUAGGUUCCUCUGCUAGCUCAUAUGGAUUAAACUUAGAACAGUGUGAUGAAAUAAGUCGAAUUGUUCGAAUUGGGAGAAGAAAGGGAAACCGACAAAUAUAGUGAUAUAGUCGUCGGUCUUCUAAUUAGAAAUAGAGCUUUUAUGUUUUACAUACUAUAAGUAUGAAUGCGGAUUCAUACUAAGAAGCUCGGAAUUGAUGGAAUUGGUCAAAAAUAGUAAAAAGUCAAAAUGUUGACUUUUGACUUUGAAAAGUCAAACUUUGACCGGCCUUAUAUUCAAAUGUGAUUUGAAUUUUGGAAAAAUGAAUGCGGAUUCAUGCUCGGGAGGUUGGAAUUAGUCAAGACGGACAAAAUGGUAAAAAGUCAAAAUAUUGACUUUUGACUAAGAAAAGUCAAAGUUUGACUUUUGACUAGAAAUAUCUAAUGACCAUUUUACCCUUGGACUAAGUUAGUGGGAAAAUCCAACAUUUUGUUGGAUAAUCCCACUAACUCUUAGUGGGAUAUGUGGCUAUAUGAGAUAUAGACACCUAGCCCACUAAGUUCCACUAAUUGUUAGUGGAACAUUAGGUGUUGAGAUUUGGCAAAUGAAUUGCAUGCAUUUUUGCAUGUAAUUAGGUUAUAAAUAGAGGUGUUUUCAAAUGUUGAAGAACUUUUGCCUCUUUUAUCAUUUUCAUCAUCUCAACAAAAGAAAAAAAACCUUCCAAUCCCAUUUUAUCUCCAUUACUUUCUACACCAAAAUUGGGUCCCACAACCCGGUUCUUUGUCUAGAGGAUAGCAGUUGAGUACUAGUGGUGGUCUCGGUUAGAAUUGGUAAGAAGAUAUCAAACCUUUUGAAAGCUUCAAAGGUAAUAUUUCUUAAAACCCUAAUUUGAUUAGUUUAUGGUUACAUGUUAAUUGUGGCAAUUAGGGUAGAAAUUCGAUUCUUUUUCCGCUGUGCAUGACUUAGUUCUAUCAAUAUCGAGAAGAGUAUGUUCAUCUCAGUGCGAAAUUAUUCAACAGUCGGUUGAGAUAUGAAACCCUACUCUAAUCUUAGGGUAAAUCUAAAGAAAUCUUACUGAUAACUUUGACGUAGCAUCGAGAUUACAUAAGUGAAGACAAAAACAUAAAUUAUUGAUCUCAUUCGUAUGCAAAUACUAAGAAAAAAUCGUGAUUUAUAAGCAUAAUUAAUGUUAUUGUUAGAAUUAGCGGGCUUGUUGUAUGUUGAAAGUCCGAGAGUUUGUUAAGAUUUUAUAGUUCCCUAAUUAUCUUUUAUUAUUUUUAUUUUGGCUUCUCCGGCCUAUAAAUGUUCCCUGUAUCAUUACGAAAGAGAGAAAAAUAAUAAGAAGAAAAUAACAUCAUGGUUUUUCUCUCUAUUCUAGAGUUUCCACGUAAAAUCGUUUGUUUCUUCUCUUUUUCUCUUUCAAUAUGGUAUCAAGGCAAGGUGUCGAUGAAACCCUAGAAGGUUAAACACUUGCGAAAAACCAAACAAAGGAGACAGCCGCCAUCAGCGCAAUCGUUGUUGUUGCUGUCAAUGCUUCUAUUGGUGCUGCCAUGGAUGAAUGGUUCUGAUGACUUCAGAGAAUGUCAGUGACCCUAAACCCAUCAUUUUCUCCUACGUACGCGCCUACACGUGCCACCCAUGUGCCACUGUUUGAGCAUCACAUAUCACUACCAAAGCUUCAUGUGUCGUUGUUGAAGCUUCACACGCCUUUGCCAGAGCUUCACAUGCCACCAUCGAAGACUUUCAAACCUACCCAUCUCAUUCUAAAAGCACCGACCAACCCAUCCCUACCACCCCUGCCUUCAUCCACAACCGUUAAUGUCUCCACACACCGCUUCAUGUUCUGCCAUCUAUCUUCGUCGAGCCACCACCAUUUCUGUCGACCAACUUGCAUGCAUUACCAUCCACUGACUCUGUUCCAAACCACUAGCUAUCAUGUCGGGGUCUGGUAUCCUUACAACUACUCAACAUUUGAAGUUAGAGAGUCUUCGACUCAUUCCAACCCUAACGUGCCAACCUUUUCUUCUUCAAAUAUAACUCACCAGCAACUAGAUGGGCUUCGAUAACAGAUUGCGACAAUUGAGGCUAACUCGGGGACAACACUAGUUGUGGUUUUCAUACAUCUUUACCAGUGUAUUCUGAGAAUUUGAUAACCACGUUCCCCUCUCUAUCCUCUCCUUGUGUGACUAAUAUAGUGACACAAUUUACAAGAUAUUUUUCAGGAAAAAAAUUGAAUGGCAAUAACUAUUUCUCAUGGUCUUAGUUAGUGAGAAUGGUUCUUGAAGGAUGGCAUAAAUUUAAUUUUAUGAUAGGAGAAAUACUUCGUCCUUCGCUUGGAGACCCUAAAAAAAGGUACUGAAAGUGGGAGGAUUCUCUUCUAUGAUCCACAUUAAUUUAAUAGCAUGGAGCCACAGAUUAACAAACAUUUACUCUAUGUUGCAACUACUAAAAAUAUUUGGGACACACAACUCAAAAAUUUUAUUCCAAACGUCAAAAUGACUCUCUAUGGUAUACUCUACGAAAACAGGUUCAUGAAUGCAAGCAUGGAACUAUGGAUGUUACUUCAUUUUUUAACAAACUCUCAGUUAUCUGGCAAAAAUGGAUCUAUGUAAAGAACUCUAGUAUGGAGCAGUCCUAGUGAUAGUAUACAGUACUCUAGAGUUCAAGAGAUUGACAGGAUUUAUGACUUUCUUGUUGGUCUUAACUCUAAGUUUGAUAUAGUUUGUGGGCGUAUACUGGGCCAGAGAUAGAUUCCCUCCCUAAUGGAGAUCUAUUCUAAAAUCCACUAUGAGAAGGAUCGUACAAAUGCUAUGAAUAUGUCAACAAUCAUGACUAUCGACUUUGCUGCUUUUAGUGUAAGGUCCUCUACAAGUAGCAGUAAAAAGAAACCAAUUUCUGUCUGUGAUCAUUGCAAGAAACAAUGAGAUACCAAGGAUCAAUGUUGGAAGUUACGUGGUCGUCCCCCAGAGGUAAAAAAUGCAUUUCUAACGAUAAAUAGAACACUAGAUGGGUAUAUGGGAGUUAGUCUGCUACACCUACUCAACCACAUGAUCUAUAUGAGAAUCAAGUAAAUCCAAGUUCUACUAACUGUAGGUGCCAUUACCUAAUCAAGUAUACCUUAGUCCUUCAGUCUUAUUAGUACUUAUAGGAAAAAAAAACCUUCGAUUUUGGAUUCUAGCACCACAUGACUGGUUUUUCUGAAUUGUUUAUGUCCUAUAUUCCAUGUGCUGGUAACGAAAUAAUUAAGAUUGUAUAUGGCUCAUUCACCCCUAUUGUUGGAAAAGGGAAGAUUUCUCCAUGUGCAGAGAUUUCCUUACAUCAUGUGUUGCAUAUGCAAAAAAAUAUCUUAUAAUUUGUUAACUUUAAGCAAGAUUACUCGUGAUUUAAACUGCAAAGCAAUAUUCUUACCUAAUUCUGUCUCUAUUUAGGACUUGAGCUCGAGAAGGAUGAUUGGCACUGCCCGACAUAGUAGGGGACUCUACCUUCUUAAUGAUGACACCACUAGUGGCACUUCUAGGACUAGCCUUUUAUCUUCUUACUUUACUACUUUUGAAUAAGAUUUUAUGUUAUGGCAUUUUUGUCUAGGCCACCCUAAUUUUCAAUAAAUGAAACAUACGUUUCCUCAUCUUUUCUCUAAAAUUCAUGUGUCUACUUUAUCUUGUGAUGUUUGUAUUCGGGCAAAACAACAUCAGGUAUCUUUUCCUUUCCAACCAUAUAAACCAACUCAUCCUUUCACCUUUAUUCAUAGUGAUGUUUAGGGUCCUUCCAAGGUCACUACUUCAUCUGGGAAACGGUGGUUUGUAACUUUUAUUGAUGAUUGAUCAAACCCGUCAUACCUGAGUCUUUCUCAUAUUCGAUAAGUUUGAGGUUACCUCUGUCUUUCAAGACUUUUACCACACCGUAGAGACACAGUUCAAUCCAAAUAUUGCUAUUCUACAAAGUGACAAUGGCCGUAAGUUCCAAAAUCAUACCCUUAAUGAGUUUUUAUCCUCCAAAGGGAUUGUUCACCAAAGUUUCUAUGCAUAUACCCCCAACAAAAUGGCAUAGUUGAACGUAAAAAUCGUCAUCUUUUGGAAGUAGUUUGGUCUCUUAUGUUGUUCUCUUAUGUUGUCUACUUUCUUACCAUCCUAUCUUUAGGGCGAUUCAUUCUUACUGUCGCUCAUCUUAUAAACAAGAUGUCUUCUUGCGUAUUAGAUCCCCAGACCCCCUUAGAGUGUCUUAAAGAGACAUAUCCCUCUACUUGUCCCAUUUAUUAUGUUCCUCUCUAGGUGUCUGGGUGCACAACCUAUGUUCAUAACCAUGGUCCUAACUCAACUAAGCUUGUCCCUCGAGCUCAAGCAUGUGUCUUUGUUUGUUAUCCUUUGCACAAAAGAGGCUAUAAAUGCUUUUAUUCUUCUUCUCUUAAGUAGUUUGUCUCUAUGGAUGUCACCUUUCUUGAGGAUCAUCCUUUCUUUCCAUUAGCUUACUUCAGGGAAAGAGUGAGAGUAGUAAAACUAAAUACUCUAACUGGGUGGUUUCCUUAGAGUGUCUACCAAUCCUAUUUUUGCUCCCCUACCUAGCCCAAAUCCUUAUAACACGAUCCUACCUACGAACCAAGUUCCUUAGAAAACCUACUGUAGAAGGAAUCUUAGAAAGGACGUUGGGUCUCCUGCUACUCUAUUGGCUUCGGUCCAAGAUUCUAAACCACCACGAGAUCAAGGUAUGUGUCUGAUACUAUUGACUCACAUACUGACAGUAAAAUGAGUGCAAUUUAUAGGUCUAAGGUAGCUAUUCUUGAGAACAUAGGUGAAUAAAACAAUGUUGAUACUGGAGUCAUUUUAGAUAAAGAAGGCAGUGAUGGUGGAAAUGAGGUUAUAGCUAAAGUUACAGAGAAUAACACUAGGAAGGAUCGUUUAGAAAAUAACAAUAAAUAUAAUCCAUCUCUUGAUCUUUAUAUUGCACUGAGAAGGUAUUAGGUCCUACACAAAGCACUCUAUUGCUAAUUUUGUUUCUUCUAAGAACUUGUCUCCUCGGUUUAGAGCCUUUACAGUCAUACCAAAAAAUAUCCAUGUUGCUCUUGAAUGCCCAAAGUGAAAAAUUGCAAUCAUUGAGGAAAUGAGAGCUCUGGAAAAGAACAAGACUUGAGAGCUCUACACUCUACCUAAGGGACACAAGAGUGAGGAAUGCAAAUGGGUGGUUACUAUCAAGUACAGAGCUGGUGGUACUCUUGACAGAUAUAAGGCUAGGUUAGUUGCAAAAAGGUUCACUCAAACUUAUGGGGUUGACUAGUCAAAAACCUUCUCUUCUAUUGUAAAUUUGAACACUGUGAGAAUCUUAUGGUCUGUUGCUAUGAAUAAAGACUAGCCUCUAUAUCAACUUGAUGUUAAGAAUGCAAUCUUGAAUGGAGAUUUAGAAGAAGAAGUGUAUAUGAGUCCUUCACUUGGAUUUGAAGCCCAUUUUGGCCAUCAGGUUUGCAGACUUCGAAAGUCUUUAUAUGAGUUGAAACAGUCACCAAGAGCCUGGUUUGAAAGAUUUACCACAUUUGUCAAGUCUCAAGGGUACACUUAAGAGCAUUCUGAUCAUACUUUAUUCAUAAAAGUCUUUAAGUCCGGAAAAAUUACAAUUUUGAUAGUUUAUGUUGUGAUGAUAUUGUUCUAUCUGGCGAUGACACCGAUGAAAUCCUCUAGUUAAAAACGAAGAUGGGAUGAGUUUAAAAUUAAAGACUUGGGGAAUCUGAAAUACUUCCUUGGGUUGGAUAUUGCCAGAUCUAGAGAGGGCAUCUCUGUAUCGCAGAGGAAAUACACCCUUGAUUUGUUAACUAAGACAAACAUGUUAGGAUGUCAUUCUAUUUAUACACCUAUUGAGCCUAAUUCCAAACUCAGAGGUAUAUGUGACAAAGUUUCGUUUGACAAAGAAAAUUAUCAGCGCUUAGUGGGCAAACUGAUUUAUUUAUCUCACACUAGGUCUGACAUCUCAUAUGUUGUGAGUAUUAUUAGUCAGUUCAUGCAGACUUCUUACGAAGAACACGUGGAGGCAGUAAAAUAGAAUCCUAAGGUAUCUGAAAAACAACUCCUAGUAAGGAAUUGAGGUUCAGAAAAACUGACAAAAGGUGUAUUGAGGCAUAUACAGAUCCUGACUGGGCAGGGUCUAUUGUUGAUAGAAAAUUUACCUCUGGUAUUGUACUUUUGUAUGAGGCAAUAUCUCGUUACUUUGAGAAGCAAGAAGUAAGGGGUUGUUGUCAGGAGUAAUGUUGAAGUUGAAUACAUGACAAUGUGUUUGGGAAUAUGUGAGGAAAUUUGGCUACAAAAGGUGUUAUCAAUCUUCACCAAGACUAUGAGAUGCUUGUGAAACUUUUCUGCGAUAAUAAGGCAGCUAUCAGCAUUGCUAAUAACCCAGUCCAACAUGAUAGAACUAAACAUGUAGAGAUUGAUUAACACUUCAUCAAAGAGAGAUUGGACAAUGGCAACAUAUGCAUUCCUUAAAUACCUUCGAGCCAACAAAUUGUUAAUAUUCUCACAAAAAGGCUUCUGAGACAAAGCUUUGUCACAUAUACCUCUGAGUCUCUUUUACAUUUAGGGCACAACUUGAGGGGGAGUGUAAGAAUUAGCGAACUUGUUGUAUGUUGAAAGCUCGAGAGUUUGUUAAGAUUUUAUAGUGCCCUAAUUAUCUUUUAUUAUUUUUAUUAUUUUUAUUUUGGCUUCUCCAGCCUAUAAAUAAAAUUUCCCUUUAUCAUUGUGAAAGAUAGAAAACUAAUAAGAAGAAAAUACCAUUGUGGUUUUUCUCCCUAUUUUAGAGUUUCAACAUAAAAUCAUUUGUUUCUUCUCUUUUCCUCUUUCAAUAGUUAUAUUUGUUGGAAUAAUUGUGUUUCCUCAUGAAUUGUUGUUUUACUUAAUGAGAGUAACCAAAUUAGAGAAAGGUCACAACUAUUUGAAUGACCAUAAAUUAAAUCUUUAUGUAAUACUUAUAUCUUCUAUCCCAUUUUCUUAGUAAGAAGUUAAUAAGAGGCUAAAGAGUUUUGACCAAGAUCUCGAGAAAAAGUGUUCAAACUCUACUCCAAGAAAGGAGGGGGAGAGAGUGGCUUGAAUAGGCAUGGAGCUUGAAGAGGCCAAAGAGAGAGACUCAAAUGAUCGGAGAAAGUCACAGAGAGAGAAAGAGUUCGAAUAAAACACCUAGAGAUUAAGCAAUCAUGAUAAAAGGAAAGAUUAUUCGUUGUUUAUCUCUUAACUUGUAACAAUAGUUUCAUUCUUUUGCCUUUCCAUUUUGUUAUUUCAUUGUAGUACAUAUAUUGUUCAUAUUCUACCGUGGUCGAAGGCCUAUAUUCUUUAUACAUAGACAGCAUGUUUAUGCAUUUUCAAUCUACCAUUUCUUAACGUCUCACCCAACUUCGUGUUAUUAACUGAGAAGAGUGUGAUAGGUUCUUGAUAAGGAGUUCAACCUAUAAUUCUUGUCGCGUUAGCUGAGCUAUAUUCAUCAUUUGGCCAGUGUCAAUCGCUAACUACCCGAGAGGGCAAGUAGCAAGGAUAUGGCUAGUGCACACAAAGAAGAAUUUAGAGACAAAUUUUACCUUAGUAAGGUAGCUUUCUACAUUUGUAUCCCGAAAGGUGAAAAAGUGUGGAGAUAGGCACCGACAGGUUGUUGUUCUUAAAGGAGAAGUCCUAUAAGUAUUAUGAGUCAAGUUCUCUAGGUAUAAUUUUUCUAAGCAAGCAUAGUCAUUUGUGUCUCGAUAGGCGAACAACUGUGGCAUUUAAACACUUCGAGAGAAGGUCAUCUUAAUCAUGUGCCCAUUAUGCAAUUAUAGCAUGUUAAGGUUAUCACAAAUUCUAAAUAAUUGAUAGUGCAUAGAAUUUCCUUCAACCUUCAUUUGCAUGCAAGUUAGAUCAUUUCACUCUCUCCUAGCUUAAUUUUCUCUCUGUGCGUGAGUCUCAAGUAGUAAAUAGUUAGUUAUAAUUAGCAUUACAUUCUUUCAACUUAAUUAUCAUAACACCUUAAUUCUAAAGUAAAGUCUCGAACUAACAUCUAAAAUAAUUUCCUGUGUUCGACCCUGGAUCACUGAAGUAAACCUAUUGUUCGCUUGCACUUGGGCGAGUCGUAGAAAAACUUGUAUUCAGCAAGGACUUAAGUACUAUGCAAUGAAGAGGUACAUAGUGACCAUUAUGCAUGCUAUGAUCAUGACCUAUGACUCAUCGCUUACACGAGAUCAAAUGCAAGCAAUAGCGAAAGUCAUGACGAGUGCAUUAUACGCAGUGACCUGACUUAGUAAAGUAUUGCUAUAAUGGUCUCUCAACACAAAGCUAUUAAGUCCUCGCAAUGAAAAUACUCAAACCAAGUUUUUGGCAUUGUUGUCGGGGAAUUAAUUUUUAGACGUUAUAGUAGAAAUUUUACUUGGGAUUAGGCAAAGCAUUUGAUUUUGGUGAAUUGCACGAUUAACCAAAGAUAGCGCAAAUGGUUUCAAGGUACCAAAAUAAUUUGUGCUAGCUUGAACCAAACCUAAAAUUAGUGUAUCUCUCAGAAGAUGGCCUAAAAACUCUCAUCGGAUGCAGUGAUUAUAAAUGAAAAUGAGAAUUUCAAUAAAGUCAUCUAGAGAAGUGUCCUCACGCAAAGCUGAUGAAAGGCAUAAUUUCAUAUAGCUAAGCGACAAGGACCAAGAAAGAUCAUUUGAACAUUGUGAUGAAUAAUUGAAAGCAAAGACUUAUUGUAAUGACCAAUCAAGACGCUAAGAGUCAUGAUGCAAAUGAUCAAUGAAGUUCAAGAACGAUGCAUUUAGAAAGCUACGUGGAGCAGCAACGAUGAUACCACAGUCAAUCUUAUCAAGGAACCUGAACGCAUGAGAGCAAUCUGUAAUGUAUAAUUCUUCCAGUUUUUCUUAUCGCAUCCUCAUAUUACUGUACAUGUAUACUUAUACUCUUAUAUUUUUAUAUUUUUGUAGGUAAUUCUUUCAUAUUCGUAAGUCAAUUUUGUAUUCUUUUAUUUUCUCUUUCUAUACAUCGUGUAAUCUUGUGCAAGAAUUACUAGUCAUAUCGGGUCAUCACAAGGAGUCUAACCGUCGUGCACCAAAGUAGGAAGCUAGGUUGCUUAGGAAAACAAAGAAAUCUUAGAGAAUACAAAACGUCAAGUCAAAUCCUUCAGUUUUAAGUCCCAAGUCAAAAUUAAUGCACCUCCCUCGAGCCACGAGCAAUCACUUUCGUUUUUCAUAUCACAGUUUUUGUGACAAGACUCGGUUUAUUAAUCACUAUCUUAACCCUAGUUAGAAAUGCCUAUUUAAACCAUGAAACUCCGAUAAGUAACACUUUGCCUAACCCAACAAGUCACAACUAUAUGCAUCAAUUACCCCUCAAAACACUACCAUUCCAAAAAGCUCUUCUUCAAUGUUUUUCAUCGUAUUCCUACCAUCUUUCACCAAGAAAUAUUGUCCUUUACAAAAUCACUCAUCAGGCCACCCCAUCAUGAGUAACAAACACUCCUUAUUUUCGACGCCUAUAGCGAUAAGGUUCCAAAAGCAUAAAAAAGGCGAAAGGAUGGAGAAGGUCGAUGAAGAAAGUAUGGGAAUAAAAGAUUAUGUAAAGCAAGAGGCAAAAGAAAGUGAAAAGAUAUACAAGAAUAAAAGACUAUGUAACAAGAAGAAGAAGAUAGGAAUAAGGAAGAGAUGAAACAGCCAGGCGAGGAAGGAGGAUCUUGAGCUUCCAAUCAAAAGCACCUCCUCGCCUGAUGCUGAUUUUACAAGGUUAGCGACAAGGACCCCCGUAAGAUCUGCAAAAGGAAUUCAGGUCCUUGGAAAAAGAAGCAAGGGAAAAGAGUGGGGGACAAAGGUGGUGGAGGGCGUGGCCGAGGAGUCUGAGAAAGAAGAAAAGGAAAUCACCAUGUCGGAGGAGAAAUUGUCCAUCCACAAGAAAGAAGAGAUCCUAGCGUGUGCGAGGAUGCUCUUGUGGACACAAUUAGAUAAGGGGAGAAAUGGAAAGUUGGGACCUCAUCACCAUCCAUUUGGCGAUAAAUAAAAAGAAUGAUGAGGGUACAGACAAGAAGAGGAGAAAGCCUUAGGAUCAACGUGAAGACAAUCAUUUAAGGUUGAGGACUCCAAUGAAAUCUUGUCGCAUGCCCACGAUCUCAACCCCUACGUCAUAAGAAAGGCCUCUAGGGACAAGUUUCUCAAACUCCUCACAACCUUCACUGACUCCUUUCUCUUCUAAGUAAUCUCGUUCGCUUAUUCCAGACCUUAGCCAAUUCGAAUGAGCCCAAUGACUUGGCCCCAAAAUGGAGGUUAGCCCCACUAGACCCUCAAUCAAAGAAACCUUCUUUUGUCAUCAACAUCAAAAAGGAUUUGCUAAGCGUCACAACUUCAAGCUUUUUAUUUCUUUUUAUUUAUGUCUGAUACAAUGCAAGUAAUAACUUUUGAUGUAACCUUUAAGCGUUUAAUCUUUCAUGUUGCAAGUAUAGCUCCCUACCUUAUUGUACUCUAAUUUUUCUUUGUACUGCAAUAACCUUUCGAUGAAAUAAAGUUUUAUUUGUUAUCCUUGCAUUUAACUUGUUAAGGAACCUUACUUAGAAAAUAUUUAUAUAAUUUACUAUGGCGAGCAAACUUUACCUCAAACUAACCCUUGUAAAAACUUCCCUAAAAGACUAAUCUUAUCAUUCAUUUUCAGUAAUGAAGUCUUUGCUCAUCUCUAAAUUUAAGGGUGCACAAGAUUCGUGUUAAAAUUUUGAAAAUGUUUUGAAGAACUUUACAAGGAAAGCAAAGAUAAGGUGUUUUAAAACAAGUUAAAACCACGCCAAAAGUGAAAUAAGUUUCUGAUAAUAAUAUUCAUUGAUUAAUUUAAAAUCACGACUCCUAUGUUGCCUCCUCUCGCAAAAAUAAGAAGCAAAACUUCAAAACUAAAAGUUGAGAGGAGUGAGUAAUAAGAGGCGAUAAGAGUUACAGUUGAGGAGAGAAACGAACUCCAAGAGAAUCCAUGAUUUUCAACUCAACGCCCAAUCUAAUAAAAAUUCAAUAAAAAUGCAUUCUUUCUCCAAAUAAAAAGGGAUUUGGAGCUUUUUCAAAAUUUUAGUCAUUAUAGAAGAUGAAAAUAAGAUUUACUUAAGGGAAUAAACAAGGGUAUUUUGAGUAUUAAGCUUGUCGCCUACUAAGCUUAAAAAUAUUUUUAUAAUAAGAAAUACAAGACGAGAGUAAUUCCUUGAUAACGAAUAAAACUUGCUCGCAUUGAGAAAUGUUUUGAAUCGCAGAGGGGAAGGUGAAUCACGAAGAAGGAAUGGUUCUUGAGGACAAGCAUAAUACGGAGCGAUGCUUGGGGACAAGCAUUAUUCUAAAUUUGGGAGUAUGAUAACGGGUAGAAAUGAUCGUUAUUAUAGCCCUUUUUAGUAGAAUAAUGGGAAUUAAAACACCUAAGGGAUGCUCAGCACGCAUAGCUUAUGUUGUAAAAGCAUAAGUACUUAGAAAUAAUAAGGCUUACAUAAAUGUAGUUCAUGUUCUAUGCGUUUACCAUGUCUAAAUGUAGCAAAAGUGGGAAAAAGCAAAUAGGAGCAAUUUAUAUGUGACAUCUCAUGCAAAGACAAGGCGAUGGAUCAUGCCAAGCGACUAACAACUCUAGGCGAUGAAUCCAAAAAUCAUGCGAGGAAAGCUCCCAAAAAGACAAAAAUGGUAGUUGGAAUGAUGUGACUACACAGGGGGUAGAUUACGAUGCUAACACAUUCAGAGGAACAACGUUUUCCCGUCGAAAAAGUAACCUAUAAUAAGCAUUGCAUCUGCACCAAGAAAGGAAGGGGGAGAGAGGCUUGAAUAGGCUUAAAGCCUGAAAAGGCCAAAGAGAGAGACUCAAAUGAUUAGAGCAAAUCACAGAGAGAGAAAGAGUUCGAAUAAAACACCUAGAGAUUAAACAACCAUGAUAAAAGGAAAGAUUAUUCGUUGUUUCUCUCUUAACUUGUAAUAAUACGUUCCAUUCUUCUACCUUUCCAUUUUGUUAUUUCAUUGUAGUACAUGUAUUGUUCAUAUUGUAUAGGGGCAGAAGGUCUAUAUUCUUUAUACAUAGACUGCAUGUUUAUGCCUUUUCAAUCUACCAUUUCUUAACAUCUCACCCAGCUUCGUGUUAUUAACUGAGAAGAGUGUGAUAAGUUUUUCAUAAGGUGUUCAACCUAUAAUUCUUGUCGCAUUAACUGAGAUAUAUUCAUCACUUGGCUAGUGUCAAUCGCCAACUAUCUGAGAGGAAAAGUAGCAAGGAUAAGGCUAGAGCGUGCAAUGAGGAAUUUGGAGACAAAUUUCACCUUAGCGAGGUAGCUUCUAACAUUGUAUCUCAAAAGGUGAACAAGUACGGACAAUAGGCACCAAAAGGUUGUCAUCCUUAAAUGAGAAGUCCUAUUAAGUAUUAUGAAUCAAGUUCUCUAGGUAUAAUUUGCCUAAGUAAGCAUAGUCAUUUAUGUUUCGAAAGGCAAACAAGUGUGGCGUUUAAGCACUUUGAGAGAAGGUCACCUUAAUCAUGUGUCCAUUAUACAAUUAUAACAUGUUAAGGUUAUCAUAAAUUCUAAGCAAUUGAUAGCGCAUAGAGUUUCCUUACCUUUAUUUGCAUACAAGUUAGAUCAUUUCAAUCUCCCUUAGCUUAAUUUACUCUCUGUGCGUGAGUGUCAAGUUGUAAAUAGUUAGUUAUAAUUACCAUUACAUUCUUUAAGCUUAAUUGUCAUAACACCUUAAUGCUAAAGUAAAGUCUCGAACUAACAUCUAAAACAACUCCCUGUGUUGAACCCUGGAUCAACCAGGUAAACCUAUUGUUCGCUUGCACUUGAACAUGUAGUAGAAAAACUUGUAUUCAACAAGGACUUAAGUAUUAUGCAAUGAAGAGGUACAUAGUGAGCAUUCCCAUGGUCAUGACCUAUGACUCAAUGCUUACACGAGAUCAAACGCAAGCAAUAUUGAAAGUCAUGACAAGUGCAUUAUGCGCAGUGAUCUAACUUAAUGAAGUAUUGCUAUAAUGGUCUCUCAGCACGAAGCUAUUAAGUCGUCGCAAUGAAAAUACUCAAACUAGUUUCCAUGCCUAGAGUUUCAUCCCAUAGGUACAAAGAGUUCAAGGUAUUGCAAGAAAAAAAGAAAAGAGAAAGUUAAAAGCUAUAUUUGAAAAGAAAAUUGAUUUUCUAAGUUUAUGUAUAUUUUGCUCAAAGUUUUCAUUAUCAUGCUUUGUUUGAAAGGUUUUCACUCAUGGGGCUUUAUAGCUCAUCCUUUCAAUGUUUAAUUCCCUUACAGGUAGAGAUCGUGGUUUUGACACAUGUUAAAGUUCUGUCUACUCUACUAGAAGUUUGAUUAGAUUUUUGUACGUGUAAACCCUAGUUCUUAAAACACCCUAAAAAUUUCAAGAGUUAGGUGAUAUGAGAAGUUAAGUGUUUGCUAUUCUUUGUUAGGUGAGCAGAAGAAAAAAAAUUUAGCUAAGUAUGGAAGGUGAUGUAUGAAAUUUGACGAAGUGUUGAGAGGUUAUUUUGCAAGAAAUUAGGCGUUUUGAUGAAGGCUUGGGCAUUUUGGUGAAGGCCUAGGUGAGAAGAAGUAUUGGCAUAAGAACCUCUAAGAGACAAGGUUGGGCGUGGAAGUUGCUUGGCUUUGGGCGAUAAGGCUAGGUGAGAUAUAACCUCUAAAGAGGUUAUCUAGGCAUUGAAGGCUAGUAGGCGGCAAGCUUUGUUGUGUGUGGCCUUGAAUGUGAGCUUGGCGAGGAAACUUUGGCUACGCGAGAAAGGGCUUGGAUGCAUGGAAGCCCUAAACACACAAGAUGAUAUUUGCACGUAAAGAGGUUGUGGGCGAGAAGAGGUUUGCGACCAAGGGUUUAAGGGUUUUGUUUGGCAAGGAGAAGUAAAUAUUAGGCGACCAAAAAUGCUUCUAACCAUUUUGGGUAGAUGGUGAAGUGAUUUCUAGGUGUCCUAAGCAUGCAAGGUCGAAUUCCAUGCAAGUAGGAGGUGGCAAAUUCUACUUUUUAGAUAACUCUAUAAAUAAGCUCACUUCAGAACAAAAGUUCUCUCAAUUCUCUCGUGAAAAUUAAGUGAUUCAAGUUGGAAAAACUUCAUUUGUGAGUCUGUUUUUGAGUGUGAGGCUGCCAGACGAAAACGUUGAAGGGAAGGUUGAAUUUAAUGUUAAUGAACACUUGAAGGUCAAAUUUUGAAGGAUUCUGAACAAGGUUGAGUUUCUGGAGGCUAUAGAAUUCAAUUCUUAGAAUUUGAAGUUGAGAUUUUGAGGUAUGAUAGUUAGCUCAUUUUUAAGCAAGUGUGAAGAAGGAAGUUUUGCAUUUUGAGUUCUAUUUUAAAAGUUAUAAACAUUAAAAGAUAAUAGUAUUUUUUUUUUUUUUUUGGAAAAUUUCAGUGUUCUAGGUUGUUGUGAUUGGUUGAGCAUCAGAGUGGAAGGAUUUAUUGAUCGCGCAAGGUAAGUGAAAGAGGUUAUUUUUUCGGCAUUGAUGUGUCACGCGAGAUGGCCAAAUGUAUAGCUAGGCAACAAAGGGUGUGGGCACUAGGCUAUGCGAUAGGCCAUGUGCAAGGGUGUGCGUGUGCAUGCGCGACGCGGAGUCAUGCGAGGCCAAGAUGCGCGGCACCCAAGCACAAGGCAAGGUUAGGCGCACACAACAAUCACACAGUCAGAUCCUCUGAUGGUCUGCGCGCAUGCGUGGGCCAUGCGGCCAACAGCGCCAUGACACCCAAUUUUGAUAAGUUUUGGAGUUUGAUUUGAUUAUUUCUAAUUAUGAAAGAUUAAUUUAAGUUAAAAUUCUCAAUUUUUAGUACAAGAAGUAUUGGAAAAAUCUAUAGACCAAAGGGUUAAACAAGUAUUUGUGAUUGACAUAUAAACAUUUUUAAAUAAUUCCCAAGUUAUUGAAGCUUAUUGUUUUUACAAAUACGCUCUCGAAGGUAAAUGUUUAUUGUUUGAGCUCGAGGAAAAUAUUAUGAAUUCAAAGCAUGAGUUCAGUAAAUGUCUUGUGUAUGCAAAGUGUUAUUAAAGUUAAAGAUUAUAAGUUAAGUAGGUUUUACAAGUGAUUUCAGUAUGCAAGUUUUGAGCAUCAUGUGAGAUUUAUGAAUGAGAUUUCCGUGAGCAUAUGGUUUAUAUGUUCUAAGUCUAUCCCGAGAUUAUUAUGAGAUACAUAUAGAAAUCCUACGGGGGUAAUAUAAUUCAUGUGCACAAAGGUUCUAUGAUGAGGGUAUUCAAUAGGUAGCUAGUUUUUUCACCAUUUGUGACUAGGUUUGAGAUGAGGGCCUCUACGAGCGCCUAGCUUUUCCAUCUCCUUGUUAUCUACAGGAUAGGACACUACCGAUGCCUAGGUUCUUCGUCCUAUAAGUAUCGUAUCACGAGAUAGGGUUUCCAUGCCUAGGUUAUUCAUCUCAAUUGACACAUAGAGAUAUACGGUAUAUCAAGAAAGAGAAUGUUUAAAGUGUUUUAUUUGAGACAGUUCUUGACGAUUAUUUGAUUUUAAGAAAUUUUUUAGUUUGAUAAACAUUUUCUAAGCAUUAUAUUUCACUAAGUUAUGUUUUAACUGUUUUAUCAAAGCAUAUCUUGAAAGCAUAUUUAGCAUUCACUUAGUCACCCACUAGGCUAUUUAGCUCACACUUUUCAAAAUGUUUUCUAACUUUUCAGAUAGAGAUCCUGAAACCGGUACCUGAUUCCAUUCGUCAAUCUACUAGUGGCAUAAUUUUGACUCUCCUUUCAGUAUGUAUUGUUUUGAGUUAGUCUUUUGGAUUGUACAUAAGCUUGAAGUUUUGAAUUUGGGUUGUUCGAGUCUGUUAGUUUUAACUCUGUUGUUGGUUAUUUAUAUAUAUGUCUAUGUCGGACUCAUGAUGUUUCACAUUAUGUAAGUAUGGGCUAUACUACAGUUAUGUUGUGUUAUGUAUUAGUUGCUUGUUUAUUAUGUAUCUGUUGUGUUAUCUGGUUAUAUUUAGAAGCAAGUUUAGGGUUAAUAGGUGUCACUGAGGUAAGUGACGAUAUAUGUUGACUAGUUGCGCCGUCUCUUGGGAUAAGAGUAGAUGGCUUGGGAGGAGGUGUGAUGACUAAUUUCAUGCAUGCAUGAUAAUUUAUAACUAAGCUAAUAGAAGACUUAAUUGUCGUUGUCUAUAAUAGGCUAGUAUAAGGAUUUGAAUUUGUUGAAGUUUUGUUUGGUGUUACCACAGUUGGAACUCUGAUCUUAAGCUUAUCUACAUAGGACUGUUGAACAAGUUGCCCAAAGGUUGGGUAAAUCUGAAAGUGUAUUAUAAAGCUUUAAACUAUUGUUUUCAAGUUAGCUUUUUCUUUCGCAUUUUAUGUUUAAAGUCAUUAAGCAUUUACACGUUAAGUAGGAUUGUCAGGCAUUGUUAGAAGAAGAAAGAUGUCGGUCGAUUUCAUACCACAUCUCGGACCUAGUGAGGAGAUGCUUCGGGAUGGGGUGUGACACUUUAAAUAAAGUGUUAUCUUCAAUUUAUGUAGAGAACAAUUUUUUUCAUAAUAUUUACCUUCUCCAAAAAAGUAUUUCUCUCAAUUAUGAAAUUGGUGAAAUUGAGUGUAUCCAAAAGUUUUGUUAGUUGAUUUUCUAGACGUGGUGCUACUUCUAGAAAAAAUGUGAAAUGUUCUAUCUUGGAAGAUAAUUACUCUCAAAACUCCUAGCGACAAUUCCUCUCAAAACUCUUAUUCUAUUAUGAGAGACAAUUGUCCUAAAAAUUCAAGCAUUAGGAUGAGUAAAAUUGUGUUAAAGAGAGAACGUCAAUUUGUUGGGUAAAAUCUUUGAUAUUUGUGUGUUUAUGGUUCGAUAUGGUUGUGCUCUUAGUAAUAAUAUUAACCUUAUUGUUUUUUGAUUGUUUGCAAAGUAUGAAAUGUGAUUGUGGAAGAGGAACAACACAGUUGAAAACUAAUUACUAGGAGUUGUUAGGAAACUUGUGGAUAAACCAAUUGUAUUUUACAUUUUAUUAUGAUUUAGAUAUAGAAAAUAUAAUAAUAAUUUUCAAAAUUGAGGGCAGUUUCGUCAAAUUAUAUUUCUCUUAGAAGUCCUACCACGAAUCUCGGAGUAUGUAGGAACUAUAUAACAAUUUAUAUUACAAUUCUGGGGACGAUUUCGAUGGAAAAUCAAUCCGACGAUUUUCAAAAGCUGUUUUCAAACGUAGAAUCUGUUGGUUUGGACUUUGGACAAUUUCCCAAUAAUAUUCCCUCGUCGAGAUAGAGCUGUCGGAGAUGGCGAUUCAUUUCCGAACACGAAUCAGAUUUCCAGAUCACUCGAACCACAAACCCAGUGGCUAUUUCUUCUUCAUUUCCCGGUUCAUUUCCAAAUCUCUGUCUGAAAGCACUUACGAUCCUCCAUUUUCUCCGGUUUCCAAGCUCCAAAAGGCAAAAAAGAAGAAGGAAAAGGCCCACGGUGGAAAUUCGAAUUCAAACGAAAACCCUACUCUCCCUCUCAAGUCCUAUCUUCCUUUCGACUUCUUCUACUCCUACUCUGAGACCAAUCCCUUAGUUAGCCCUAUAGGAUAUCGAGAAUCGCCCAAAUUCUCGCCCUUUGGACCGGGCCGCCUCGACCGGAAAUGGACGGGAACUUCGGCUCCUUCAGCGGUGGAAGUGAAUAUAAAUGAAGUGUUAGAAGAGAGGAAACGGAUUCUUGGAGACCCAUUAUUGGAUGAGGAAGUUGCAGAGCUUGUGGAACAGUAUCGGCAUAGCGAUUGUUCUCGCCAAAUCAAUCUUGGUAAGUACUAAAUUACUUUUACAAAUCAAGGCCUUCCAAUUGAGAGAUCAAUUCUUCUAUGCUAUGAGAACUUGAAUUCAUGUUAAAGGUGGAAAUUUUGUCGUAGCUGUAUGAUUGAAUCCCUUUUCCUUGUGUAUUAAUGGCAUUCUAUAGUAUUGUUCUUGUCUGUCAACUCGUGAUCAUAAACUGCUGCUCAGAAUGUUUUUUUUGAGAUUGAGAAAAAAGGAAUAAAGGGUUUGAGUGAUUGGUUAUACAUUUGGCUCAAAUAGGAAAGGGGGGAGUUACCCAUAAUAUGUUGGAUGACAUCCACAACCAUUGGAAAAGGGCGGAAGCUGUGAGGAUCAAAUGCUUGGGAGUCCCAACUCUUGAUAUGGACAAUAUAUGCUUCCACCUUGAGGUUUGAUUUGUUUGAACUUCAUCCAUUAACAUAAUCUUGUCUUGUCUACUUUCACUUGGAAAAUGUUUGAUGUGAGCUAUAGUUUCUUUAUAGGACAAGUCUGGUGGGAAGAUUAUUUAUCGACAUAUCAACAUCCUCCUUUUAUACCGUGGUCGGAACUACGAUCCCAAGAAUCGGCCAGCUAUCCCGCUUAUGUUGUGGAAACCUUAUGCACCAAUAUAUCCAAAGCUUGUGAAGAAUGUGGCAGAUGACUUGUCAUUUGAUGAAACAAAGGAAAUGAGAAGCAGAGGAUUGAAUUCUCCUCCUCUAAUGAAACUUAGUGAGUAAACUCCUGUGAACUAUUCUUUUUCUUUUAUAUUAUAGCAAAAAUUACAUAUAUAUUCUUUAUGGUUGAAACUUUGUUUAAUUUACCCCUUCUUAAGAUUUCAUUGUUGUCCUUUGCGAUCCUUGUGCUGAUGCUCAGGUUGAAUACAAUAUUUAUAUAUUUACAAAAUUUUAUGUGUUUGAGAUAUGAAUAGUAAGAUGGUUUUUGUAAUUUUAUGAGGCUGAACUUUACCUUUAUACGUAUUUUCUAGCAAGGAAUGGCGUAUAUGUUAACGUCGUAGACAGAGUCAGAGAAGCCUUCAAGUUCGAGGAGGUGGUUAGACUAGAUUGCACUCAUGUUGGUAGCAGUGACUGCAAACAGAUAGGCGUUAAAUUAAGGGUAACUAUUAGUGCUAUAUUUGUUUCCUAUUUAAAGAUUAAUUCAUAGAACUUCGGUCGAAGUUGAUUGGAAACUUUCAAUCCUAAAUUUUCUCGGCCUACAAUCCAGGAUUUGGUACCUUGUGUUCCCAUUUUAUUCAAGAACGAGCAGAUUAUUCUGUGGAGAGGGAAAAAAGAUCAUGAAGAGGACAUGAACUCAUAGAUGGUGAAUGCAGGCCAUUGGGAUGUUCUUGUGGAACGUUCCUUACCAUGUACUAAUUUUUUUUAUGGAUGGGCCAACUUAUGCCAUGGACUGUGAAGGUAGCACGAUCUCGAAAGGCGGAAAUGUAGACUGUAAUGGUGCUCCAUAUCUUGAAUGAGUUUGGGAAUUUGUUGAUUUUCAUUUCUCAAACCCUUUGUUGUAAUGUGGAAAUUGAGCAUCUUGCCUAGUAGGCAAAACUUAUAUCGUUAUGUGCUGUGAAUCAUUGACUAAAAUUUAAUAUCAUUAUUCAAACCCAAAAUUGAGAAUUGCUAAGCUAUAAUAUAUAACUGAUAUAUGACUUCAAAUGUAUAUGUAAAAUGGAAGCUGAUGCAAGUAAGAUGAAAUCUAUGUUCACACCAGCUAUUUACAUUGGAACAGAAAGGAAAAUAUUACAAGGAAAAUCAAUCUAAAGCAGAAAGGACAAACUAUGUUACAUAGAUUCAAAUGUUUUCAUCUGAACUUCUUCAGUUGGUGAUUCUUCUCAGUAACGCAGCCAGAGGACACCAAUGAAGUUAUCCAUGCUUGAUCAGACUUUACUGGUUCAUCGUCAUCAUUUCUAUGCCAACUCCAAAAUGCAUGAGUCAAGUUCACCAUCUUGAGUUCACCAUGACCAAAACUAGCUUCUCGAAAAACUGACCAUUCAGGCUGCAAGUUGUACCUAUCAAAUACAAUCAAAAGAACCAAACAUUUGAGCACCUCAACCAAAUAAUCAUCUUUUAAUCUCAUGCUCUUUCAUCUUGGAAUGAAUUAAUUAUCUAUUUCUCAAUGGUUAUUGAACAUUAAAAAUUACUGUGGUCCUAUGUCUAAACUUUCUUUUUACAUAUUUACCAUAAAUCAUGCAAUUGAUUUCUAAAUCGGAAACCAAAUUUCAAUACAAGGGGAUUAAGAUAUAAAUCUACAAGCUACUAUAUAAAAUUUUACAAGUAAUAUACAUUUCUUCUAUUUGCCAAUAAAGAACAAUACAAACGAAUUUUUAUGCAUAUUUUAAAGACAAAUAUAAUUUUCAAAAUUUCUAAUAGUAUAAAGACCCAAAAAGUUAUGUGUAAAAUUGAUAAGAUUUUAAACUACAAUUUUCCAAAAAUUGUAAAAUCACAUAAUAUAUGAACAAUUGAUAAUUGUAAGAUUUUUUUUUUUUUUCUUUUUUUAGGAGAAAAUUUGUUGUAUGAGACUGAGAGUUGAUAACGGAAAAGUCCUGGAAGAAGGAAAUAGUAUAGAUGAAAACCAAAUAUAAAUUGAGGAAAUAUAGUGAUCCCAUACUUGUGAGCUAAACCUUCGCGGUUCCCUCCAUCGCCAAUAGUGAUAUGCACAGCACCACAAGGAUCAGACUUUCCAGCAUACACACGUUUCUGACAUAAGAGUGAAAAUGAAUCAACGGAUACUUGAGGAGAAGGAGACAAGGAAUAGUCAGAUAUGCGAAAAGGAUCAAAAUAGUAUACCGAUCGCUCAUAAGCAUGGACAUGACCCGAAAUGACUAAGUCUGCACCAGCUGCAUGUAACAAUGGCUCCAUGGCAGCCAUCAUACUUGCACCUUCGCCUUGAUGAGCUUUAUUACUAUUGUACCAUGGCACAUGGAAUAACACUACAAGCCAGGGUGUUCUUUCCCUGUCCACCUUUGCAAGAUCAGCCUAUUAAACAAAAAAAAUUCUCAGACCUCUAUCAGAAUCAUUUCUCAUUAAAAAAAAAAACAUAAAACAAAAAAAAAAAACAAAACAAAACAAAAAAAAACAAACAAACAGAAAAGAGAUUCAUUGCAGUGGAUAGAAUCCAGAGGAGAAUUGAUGGUCAAAUCUAGUGGUACGAGUUGGGUUAGACAUUUAGACCUUCAUUGUUAGUUAUUCAGUAGUGUUCAUAUGGUCAUGUUAGAAAGUGUCCUCACCUUCUUAAUAGAAACCCAAUCUAACUAAACUAUUUGCUCUUGACCUCCAAAAAGAAGGAGUAUUUAGCAAUAAAAUAAUUGCAGAAUCUCACCUAAAUAGUAAUUUAAAGAACUAAAGAGUUUCUCUAAACUAAUUAUGUGGUCCCACUCUCUCUCAUUUCAUAUUUAAUAUUUC
rnacentral:lncRNA from 1 species